UGUAUUUGGAAAUCACUUGUUUCUGGUCAGGGUCCGGCAUCUACCAAUACAGCUACACAAGGGGACACAAAUGCAGACCCUGAACUUCUUGAUGAUUCUGAUUUCUAUCAACAAUUACUAAAGGAGUUUUUCGAGACAAUUGAUCCAGCAUCAUCUGAGAGUGCUUUUUAUGCUAUGAAAAGAUUGCAAACAAAGAAACGAAAAAUUGUCGACAGGCGUGCCUCAAAGAGUCGCAAGAUACGGUAUCAUGUUCAUGAAAAGAUUGUCAAUUUUAUGGCACCUCGGCCCAUGAAUCUUUCUCCUGAUGCAUCUUUGAUAUUUCAAAAUUUGUUUGGCCUCAGAACCCAGAAAUCUGCUUCAGCGGUAUAGCCUUCCGACUUUCUAUGCUGCAAAACCGUGUGAGAAUAUCCAAGCUUGAAAUUUCAUUUUUGGUUCACAUGGUUAAAACAAUGGCCAUAGAAUGUUGUAUAAUUUGAUCAACUUUCCAAGUAUUAUGAUAUCUUUGGUUGAAGGUUCUUUGGUAAAAAUGUGCUGUUUGAUGGCUUUCAAUGGGUUUAGAUGUCCCUUCGUAUGGCAAUGGUCCAAUGGAUAUGGCCUCUGUAACUUCGACUAUGAGGCAGGAUAUGGUGAAAAGGAUUUAUUUAUUUA